UGGGGAAUCUUGGACAAUGGGGGCAACCCUGAUCCAGCCAUGCCGCGUGAGUGAUGAAGGCCUUAGGGUCGUAAAGCUCUUUCACCGGUGAAGAUAAUGACGGUAGCAGGUAAAGAAACCCCGGCUAACUCCGUGCCAGCAGCCGCGGUAAUACGGAGGGGGUUAGCGUUGUUCGGAAUUACUGGGCGUAAAGCGCACGUAGGCGGACCAGAAAGUUGGGGGUGAAAUCCCGGGGGCUCAACCCCGGAACUGCCUCCAAAACUAUUGGUCUAGAGUUCGAGAGAGGUGAGUGGAAUUCCAAGUGUAGAGGUGAAAUUCGUAGAUAUUUGGAGGAACACCAGUGGCGAAGGCGGCUCACUGGCUCGAUACUGACGCUGAGGUGCGAAAGUGUGGGGAGCAAACAGGAUUAGAUACCCUGGUAGUCCACACCGUAAAACGAUGAAUGCCAGUCGUCGGGUAGCAUGCUAUUCGGUGACACACCUAACGGAUUAAGCAUUCCGCCUGGGGAGUACGGUCGCAAGAUUAAAACU
rnacentral:rRNA from 1 species